GCUGGGCAUAGUGGCGUGUGCCUGUAGUCCCAGCUACUCGGGAGGCUGAGGUGGGAGGAUCACUUGAGCCCAGGAAGUCAAGGCUGCAGUGAGCUGUGAUCACGCCACGGCACUCUAGCCUGGGAGACAGAGUGAGACCUUGUCUCAA
rnacentral:SRP_RNA from 1 species